GAUGAACGCUGGCGGCGUGCCUAAUACAUGCAAGUCGAGCGAAUGGAUUAAGAGCUUGCUCUUAUGAAGUUAGCGGCGGACGGGCGAGUAACACGUGGGUAACCUGCCCAUAAGACUGGGAUAACUCCGGGAAACCGGGGCUAAUACCGGAUAACAUUUUGAACCGCAUGGUUCGAAAUUGAAAGGCGGCUUCGGCUGUCACUUAUGGAUGGACCCGCGUCGCAUUAGCUAGUUGGUGAGGUAACGGCUCACCAAGGCAACGAUGCGUAGCCGACCUGAGAGGGUGAUCGGCCACACUGGGACUGAGACACGGCCCAGACUCCUACGGGAGGCAGCAGUAGGGAAUCUUCCGCAAUGGACGAAAGUCUGACGGAGCAACGCCGCGUGAGUGAUGAAGGCUUUCGGGUCGUAAAACUCUGUUGUUAGGGAAGAAUAAGUGCUAGUUGAAUAAGCUGGCACCUUGACGGUACCUAACCAGAAAGCCACGGCUAACUACGUGCCAGCCGCCGCCGUAA
rnacentral:rRNA from 1 species